rnacentral:rRNA from 1 species
GAUGAACGCUGGCGGCGUGCCUAACACAUGCAAGUCGAGCGAUAUCUUCGGAGAGAGCGGCGGACGGGUGAGUAACGCGUGGGUAACCUGCCCUGUACACACGGAUAACAUACCGAAAGGUAUGCUAAUACGGGAUAAAAUAUAAAAGUCACAUGACUUUUGUAUCAAAGAUUUAUCGGUACAGGAUGGACCCGCGUCUGAUUAGCUAGUUGGUAAGGUAUGGCUUACCAAGGCGACGAUCAGUAGCCGACCUGAGAGGGUGAUCGGCCACACUGGAACUGAGACACGGCCCAGACUCCUACGGGAGGUAGCAGUGGGGAAUCUUGCGCAAUGGGCGAAAGCCUGACGCAGCAACGCCGCGUGCGGGAUGAAGGCUCUCGGGUCGUAAACCGCUUUCAGCAGGGACGAAAUUGACUGUACCUGCAGAAGAAGCCCCGGCUAAAUACGUGCCAGCAGCCGCGGUAAUAC